rnacentral:tRNA from 1 species
GCGCCCGUAGCUCAGUGGAUAGAGCACUGGUCUUCGGAACCAGGUGUCGGGGGUUCGAAUCCCUCCGGGCGUA